GACCCGAUCUAGACGGCCCAGUUUUGGUCCAUUCAAACCAGAUCCAAUCCGCCAGGUAUUCAGCCCAGAUCCGUAGAUCCAGAUUUGUCUCCUACUCAAGUCGGAUUUCCUAAUCGACUUCUACUCCGCCGGCUUCCGCUGACCUGAAUAUUCAGAUCAGCGGAAGGCGGCGGAACAGAAGUCGAUUAGGAGACAGGAGUUUCUCACUCUAGCACCGAAGCAGAGUAUGGAUCUGUUGCUAAUACUACUGAUGAGGUUCUUUGGCUUAGAUGAUUGUUAGAAGAUAUGGGUGUUGUUCAUGCCGGUUCCACUGUUCAUUAUUGUGACAACCAGAAUGCCAUUAAAAUUGCACACAAUGAUGUAUUUCAUGAGUGCACUAAACACAUCGAGACUAAUUGUCAUUUCAUUCGACACCAUAAUCGACAAGGUACUGUGACAUUUUAAUU